UACGUAGGGUGCAAGCGUUAAUCGGAAUUACUGGGCGUAAAGCGUGCGCAGGCGGUUUUGUAAGUCUGAUGUGAAAUCCCCGGGCUCAACCUGGGAAUUGCAUUGGAGACUGCAAGGCUAGAAUCUGGCAGAGGGGGGUAGAAUUCCACGUGUAGCAGUGAAAUGCGUAGAGAUGUGGAGGAACACCGAUGGCGAAGGCAGCCCCCUGGAUCAAGAUUGACGCUCAUGCACGAAAGCGUGGGGAGCAAACAGG
rnacentral:rRNA from 1 species